GCGGAGGAAAAGAAACCAACUGGGAUUGCCCUAGUAACGGCGAGUGAAGCGGCAAUAGCUCAAAUUUGAAAUCUGGCUCCUUUUAGGGGUCCGAGUUGUAAUUUGCAGAGGGUGCUUUGGCGUUGGUAGCGGUCUAAGUUCCUUGGAACAGGACAUCGCAGAGGGUGAGAAUCCCGUUUGUGGUCGCAUGCCUUCGCCGUGUAAAGCCCCUUCGACGAGUCGAGUUGUUUGGGAAUGCAGCUCUAAAUGGGAGGUAAAUUUCUUCUAAAGCUAAAUACUGGCCAGAGACCGAUAGCGCACAAGUAGAGUGAUCGAAAGAUGAAAAGCACUUUGGAAAGAGAGUCAAACAGCACGUGAAAUUGUUGAAAGGGAAGCGCUUGCAGCCAGACUUGCCCGUAGUUGCUCACCUAGGCUUUUGCCUGGGGCAUUCUUCUGCGGGCAGGCCAGCAUCAGUUUGGGCGGUCGGAUAAAGGCCUCUGUCAUGUAGCUUCCUUCGGGAAGAACUUAUAGGGGAGGCGAAAUGCGACCAGCCUGGACUGAGGUCCGCGCUUCGGCUAGGAUGCUGGCGUAAUGGCUGUAAGCGGCCCGUCUUGAAACACGGACCAAGGAGUCUAACAUCUAUGCGAGUGUUUGGGUGUCAAGCCCGAGCGCGUAAUGAAAGUGAACGGAGGUGGGAACCCUUUGGGCGCACCAUCGACCGAUCCUGAUGUCUUCGGAUGGAUUUGAGUAAGAGCAUAGCUGUUGGGACCCGAAAGAUGGUGAACUAUGCUUGAAUAGGGUGAAGCCAGAGGAAACUCUGGUGGAGGCUCGCAGCGGUUCUGACGUGCAAAUCGAUCGUCAAAUUUGGGCAUAGGGGCGAAAGACUAAUCGAACUGCUC
rnacentral:rRNA from 1 species